CUACGGAGGGUCCAAGCGUUAUCCGGAAUCAUUGGGUUUAAAGGGUCCGUAGGCGGGCAAUUAAGUCAGAGGUGAAAUCCCACAGCUCAACUGUGGAACUGCCUUUGAUACUGGUUGUCUUGAAUUAUAGUGAAGUAGAUAGAAUAUGUAGUGUAGCGGUGAAAUGCUUAGAUAUUACAUAGAAUACCGAUUGCGAAGGCAGUCUACUAACUGUAUAUUGACGCUGAUGGACGAAAGCGUGGGGAGCGAACAGGAUUAGAAACCCCUGUAGUCC
rnacentral:rRNA from 1 species